UACGUAGGGGGCGAGCGUUGUCCGGAAUUACUGGGCGUAAAGGGUGCGCAGGCGGCAGCUUAAGUUUAUUGUGACAGCCCCGGGCUUAACCUGGGGAUUGCAGUAAAAACUGGGCAGCUAGAGUACAGGAGAGGUAAGCGGAAUUCCUAGUGUAGCGGUGGAAUGCGUAGAUAUUAGGAGGAACACCAGUGGCGAAGGCGGCUUACUGGACUGAAACUGACGCUGAGGCACGAAAGCGUGGGGAG
rnacentral:rRNA from 1 species